UUAUUUCAAUAGGACCUUCAUUCUUAAUCAUUCAUAUUCAUAAAUCAUUCCAUUUUUUAUAUCAUUUUAAUUGCAUUUAUUUGCAUAAUUUUUAUUAUAUUUUUUUUUCUAUUUUCGAAUUGACCAAUGUAAUAUUACAUUGUUUGAUUUUUACAAAUCUUGUUUCUUAAUUUAAGAAAUUCUAAAUAAAAAAUCUCAAUUUUCAAGCAUCAAUCAUCUUCAUUCACUUCAAAAUCCAUAUUUUUCCAACACCAUCAUCAUUCUCCUAGUCUUAUGCCUCUAUC
rnacentral:lncRNA from 1 species